rnacentral:rRNA from 1 species
UACAGAGGGGGCAAGCGUUGUUCGGAAUUACUGGGCGUAAAGGGCGCGUAGGCGGCCCGCUAAGUCGAACGUGAAAUCCCUGGGCUCAACCCAGGAACUGCGUCCGAUACUGGCAGGCUUGAAUCCGGGAGAGGGAUGUGGAAUUCCAGGUGUAGCGGUGAAAUGCGUAGAUAUCAGUCGGAACACCGGUGGCGAAGGCGGCUUCUUGGGCCGUUCCUGACGCUGAGGCGCGAAAGCGUGGGGAGCGAACAGG